CCUUCGAUAGCUCAGUUGGUAGAGCGGUGGACUGUAGAAAUCUGGCGAGCAUCAACUGGAGCAGAAAUGCAUCUGAUGAUCACCUGCUGCAAGUCAGUAGAAAUCCAUAGGUCACUGGUUCAAAUCCGGUUCGAAGGA
rnacentral:tRNA from 2 species